CCUACGGGGGGCUGCAGUGGGGAAUAUUGCACAAUGGGGGAAACCCUGAUGCAGCGACGCCGCGUGAGUGAAGAAGUAUUUCGGUACGUAAAGCUCUAUCAGCAGGGAAGAAAAUGACGGUACCUGACUAAGAAGCCCCGGCUAACUACGUGCCAGCAGCCGCGGUAAUACGUAGGGGGCAAGCGUUAUCCGGAUUUACUGGGUGUAAAGGGAGCGUAGACGGCAGCGCAAGUCUGGAGUGAAAUCCCAUGGCUUAACCAUGGAACUGCUUUGGAAACUGGGCAGCUAGAGUGCAGGAGAGGUAAGCGGAAUUCCUAGUGUAGCGGUGAAAUGCGUAGAUAUUAGGAGGAACACCAGUGGCGAAGGCGGCUUACUGGACUGUAACUGACGUUGAGGCUCGAAAGCGUGGGGAGCAAACAGGAUUAGAUACCCCAGUAGUC
rnacentral:rRNA from 1 species